UACGAAGGGGGCUAGCGUUGCUCGGAAUCACUGGGCGUAAAGCGCACGUAGGCGGAUUGCUAAGUCAGGGGUGAAAUCCAGGAGCUCAACUCCAGAACUGCCUUUGAUACUGGGGAUCUUGAGUCCGGGAGAGGUGAGUGGAACUGCGAGUGUAGAGGUGAAAUUCGUAGAUAUUCGCAAGAACACCAGUGGCGAAGGCGGCUCACUGGCCCGGUACUGACGCUGAGGUGCGAAAGCGUGGGGAGCAAACAGG
rnacentral:rRNA from 1 species